CCCAUAGCCUGGAGAAGUGCCUGACAUGAGUGUUCAACAGGUGUUUGUUGAAGGAAUGAAUGCAGUGUCUUAGGCCUAAAAACAUAACAUUCAUUGCCAAAAAUAAGACUUUGUGUUAUUCUAAGAUCAUUACCCUUGCAACAUUCCCGACUGGAUUGAAAAAAAAAAUCUCAGUUCUAUUUCUUUUUACAGGUUUCACUCUGUUGCCCAGGCUGGAGAGCAGUGGCACGAUCUCAGCUCACUGCAACCUCUGCCUCCUGAAUUCAAGUGAUUAUCCUGCCACAGCUUCUGGAGUAGCUGGGAUUACAGCCAGGAGACCAUGA
rnacentral:lncRNA from 13 species